rnacentral:rRNA from 1 species
GGGGAGCCCUAGCACAGGUGCUGCAUGGCCGUCGUCAGCUCGUGCCGUGAGGUGUUCGGGUUAAGUCCCGCAACGAGCGCAACCCCCGCCGUUAGUUGCCAGCGGUUCGGCCGGGCACUCUAACGGGACUGCCCGCGAAAGCGGGAGGAAGGAGGGGACGACGUCUGGUCAGCAUGGCCCUUACGGCCUGGGCGACACACGUGCUACAAUGCCCACUACAAAGCGAUGCCACCCGGCAACGGGGAGCUAAUCGCAAAAAGGUGGGCCCAGUUCGGAUUGGGGUCUGCAACCCGACCCCAUGAAGCCGGAAUCGCUAGUAAUCGCGGAUCAGCCAUGCCGCGGUGAAUACGUUCCCGGGCCUU